rnacentral:rRNA from 1 species
UACAGAGGUCUCAAGCGUUGUUCGGAUUCAUUGGGCGUAAAGGGUGUGUAGGUGGCGCCGUAAGUCGGGUGUGAAAUCUCGGGGCUUAACUCCGAAACUGCAUUCGAUACUGCGGUGCUUGAGGACUGGAGAGGAGACUGGAAUUCAUGGUGUAGCAGUGAAAUGCGUAGAGAUCAUGAGGAAGACCAGUGGCGAGGGCGGGUCUCUGGACAGUUCCUGACACUGAGACACGAAGGCCAGGGGAGCAAACGGG